GACGGAAGCUAUGAACCAGAGAGGCUAAGAGAAGAGGCAUCGUGGUGUAGGAAGCAUCAAAGUUUAAUCGUGGAGGUCGACUACUCGUGGUCCUGAUAUGAACGUCUGUGUGACCUGCAAGAGGAGACGGACGUUGGAGAGAAAGACGGAUUUCCCGCGUGUGAUUGGAUUGACUGCCACCGCCAUUGCCAUUAUCAUCGUGAGACUCUAAUCCCCCCUACAAAAAAACUUUGGAUUUUGAGACGGACGUUGGAGAGAAAGACGGAUUUCCCGCGUGUGAUUGGAAUGACUGCCACCGCCAUUGCCAUUAUCAUCGUGAGACUCUCAUCCCCCCUACAAAAAACUUUGGAUUUCGUG